GUCUACCAAGGGUGUGGUGGAGGACCUUGGCAAGAAAGCACUGUGGCCCAACACAUCCAGGGUGGCCCCAGCACCAUGGGGAAGUGAUGCCUUGGAGGAAGACUUCAAUCCCACCAAAGGAGACAGAGCCAGAGGCACACCUCUCGCCGUGGUGACCCCAGCAACCAGCGGAUGUG